rnacentral:rRNA from 1 species
CCAGACUCCUACGGGAGGCAGCAGUGGGGAAUAUUGCACAAUGGGGGAAACCCUGAUGCAGCAACGCCGCGUGAGUGAAGAAGUAUUUCGGUAUGUAAAGCUCUAUCAGCAGGGAAGAAAAUGACAGUACCUGACUAAGAAGCCCCGGCUAACUACGUGCCAGCAGCCGCGGUAAUACGUAGGGGGCAAGCGUUAUCCGGAUUUACUGGGUGUAAAGGGGGCGCAGACGGCAGCGCAAGCCAGGAGUGAAAGCCCGGGGCCCAACCCCGGGACUGCUCUUGGAACUGCGCGGCUGGAGUGCAGGAGGGGCAGGCGGAAUUCCUGGUGUAGCGGUGAAAUGCGUAGAUAUUAGGAGGAACACCAGUGGCGAAGGCGGCUUGCUGGACAGAGACUGACGUUGAGGCUCGAAAGCGUGGGGAGCAAACAGGAUUAGAUACCCUGGUAAA